GAUGAAGAACGUAGCGAAAUGCGAUAAGUAAUGUGAAUUGCAGAAUUCAGUGAAUCAUCGAAUCUUUGAACGCACCUUGCGCCCUUUGGCUAUUUCGAAGGGCAUGCCUGUUUGAGUAUCAUGAACACCUCAACUCUCAUGGUUUGCCAUGAUGAGCUUGGACUUUGGGGGUCUUGCCGGCCUAUGGGUCGGCUCCUCUCAAAUUAAUCAGCUUGCCAGUGUUUGGUGGCAUCACAGGUGUGAUAACUAUCUACGCUUGUGGUUUUCCAUCAGGUAACCUUCAGUGAUGGAGGUUCGCUGGGGCUCAUAAAUGUCUCUCCUCAGUGAGGACAGCUUUUUUGAACGUUUGAUCUCAAAUCAGGUAGGACUACCCGCUGAACUUAAGCAUAUCAAUAAGCGGAGGA
rnacentral:misc_RNA from 1 species